AUGAAUGAUGCUUAUGGAGAUGAACUUGCUAUAAUCCCUUAUGUUAAACAUGAAAUUGUUGCUAUUGCACCCACACAUGAUAGUCCUGUUAUCUUUUUGAAUUCUCCAAAAAACACUAUACCGGAGAAGUUUGUGCUUAUUAAGGAUUAUGUUGAUGGGUUGCAUUUUACCGCUGCACAUGAUGAUUUUUGUAGAUAUAAUAUGCAUGUGCUUGAUGUUCCUACUUGCAAUUAUUAUGAGAGAGGAACUAUAUCUCCACCUCUCUAUGUUUCCAAUAUGAUAAAAUUGCAAGAAACUGUUCAUACUAUGCAUUGGCCUUUACUUGGUGUGCAUGAAUUGUUCUUUUAUGACAUGCCGAUGCAUAGGAAGAGAGUUAGACUUCGUUGUUGCAUGAUAUAUGUUACUUUGUGCUCACUACUAAAUUACAAAUCAUUGUUAAUUAAAUUUGACUUUGAUAUACCUUGGGAUCCGGGUGGAUCCAUUACUUGA
rnacentral:rRNA from 1 species